UGUCGCCUGCUACCACUGUCUAGGUCCGAGUGGUUUACUGCACCACGAAGACAGAUUCCAGACGCCAUGAACUCAUGCCCCCAAUCUCAGAUGCUAUGUCCAGCAAAGGCUUUGUGGUUCUGGCCUACAGUGGUGGCCUAGCCACCUCCUGAAUCCUCAGGUGGCUGAAGAAACAAGACAAUGACGUCACUGACUACCUGGCCAGCAUUGGCCAGAAGGAAGACUUUGAGGAAGCCAGGAAGAAGGCACUGAAACUUGGGGCCAAAAAGGUGUUCAUUGAGGAUGUCAGCAGGGGGUUUGUAGAGAAGUUCAUCUGGCCAGCCAUCCAGUUCAGUGCACUGUAUGAGGACUGCUACCUCCUGGGCACCUCUCUCACCAGGCCCUGCAUUCCCUGAAAACAAGUGGAAAUCGUCCAGCGGGAGGGGACCAAGUAUGUGUCCCAUAGCACCACGGGAAAGGGGAUCAAUCAGGUGCAGUUUGAUCUCAACUGCUACUGGCUGGCCCCCCAGAUAAAGGUCAUUGAUCCCUGGAGGAUGCCCGAGUUCUACAACCGGAUCAAGGUCCGAAACGAUCUGAUGGAAUACGCAAAGCAACUCUGGAUUCCCAUCUUGGUGACUCCCAAGAACCUGUGAAGCAUGGACGAGAACCUCAUGCACAUCAGCUACGAGGCUGCAAUCUUGGAGAACCCCAAGAACCAAGCACCUCCAGUUCUCUACAUGAAGACCCAGGAGGCGGCCAGAGCCCCCAACACUCCUGACAUUCUUGAGAUCAAGUUCAAAAAAGGGGUCCCCGUGAAGGUGAACAACAUCAAGGAUGGCAUCACCCAUCAGACCUCCUUGGAGCUCUUUAUGUACCUGAACGAAGUCUCGGGCAAGCAGGGUGUGGGCCGUAUUGACAUCAUGGAGAACCACUUCAUUGGAAUGAAGUCCCGAGCUAUCUACCAGAUCCCAGCAAGCACCGUCUUUUACCACACUCAUUUAGACAUCGGGGCCUUCGCCAUGGACCAGGAAGUGUGCAAAAUCAGACAAGACCUGGGAUGGAAAUUUGCUGAGCUGGUGCACACCAGUUUCUGGCACAGCCCUAAGUGUGAAUUUGUCCACCACUGCUUCGCCAAGUCCCAGGAGCGAAUGAAAGGGAAAGUGCAGCUGUCUGUCUUCAAGGGCCAGGUGUACAUACUCUGGUGGGAGUCCCCAAUGUCUCUCUACAACCAGGAGCUGAUGAGCAUGAACGCGCAGGGUGACUAGGAGCCAAUCAAUGCCACCAAGUUCAUCAACAUUAAUGCCCUCAGGCUGAAGGAAUAUCAUCAUCUCGAGAGCAAGGUCACUGCCAAAUAG